GGGCGCUUAGCUCAGCUGGGAGAGCACCUGCCUUACAAGCAGGGGGUCACAGGUUCGAGCCCUGUAGCGCCCACCA
rnacentral:tRNA from 1 species